rnacentral:lncRNA from 1 species
GGCGCUGGCUGCUCCCGCUCGCCUCUUGGGGUGCGCUCGGCUCCAGCCCAACUCCGCCAGCUCCGCCGGCUCCAGCACCGCUCCAACCCGAUUCCAGCCGGAUUCCAGCCCGAUUCCAGCCCGGUUCCAGCCCGAUUCCAGCCCGGUUCCAGCCCAGCUCCGUCCCGGCUCCGGUUCUUCUCCGCCACGCCUCUCUGUGAGCCCCUCGCCCCGCGAACCCCGGUUCCCCGGCUGUCCGUCCCUCUGUCCCUCGAUGUCCCGCACCACCGCCACCUCGCGCCCUCCCAAGUCUCCGCGACUCGCUCUUCUAACCUCACAACCUCGCCACACCCCUCCGCCCUUUCUCUCUCGCUGUCCGUCUGUCUGUCCGCCUCCCCGCCCGCCUUUUCCUUCCUCUCUCUAGCUUCCCCGGCUUGUUUUCUAGGUCGACGCUGAGGAGCAGCUUCGCAGGAAAAUCCCAGAAACCUUUGCAAAAAGCUUACAAUGAAAUUUAAGAAGUUCUACGAUUUCGGCGCCAUUUUCGAGUGGAGUGAGAGGUGACUUAGAAUCUAAAAAAGAAAAAAACGAGGGGGAAGGGAACUUUUUGGCCCGCCUCCCCCCGCCCCCAACUAUGUCUCUGGUCACUACAGACUGUAACAGAUACGGGGAUAAUUCUCAAAAAAAUGUUAUGCGUCGCGCUGGGUGGGGUGUGGGGGUGGAAAGCGUGUCCGGGGGUCGUGGUGGGGGGAGGACAGAUCUUUAAAAUGUCUAGCAAGUGAGUGUGGCCAGGGAACUUCUCAGAAAGUGGACUGAGAAGAGUAAACGGGGAGGGGUGGGGAGAGAGAAAUGAGUGAGGGGCGGGCAGCCUCAGGCUGUCAGCCUUGCCAGGGUGGGGAGCAACUAGUUUUGACAGACUGUAAAUGGGACUUUGGGCCACUCAUUUGUAAGCAGUAAAGAAUGUCCUGGAAAGAACCGUAAAAUUCGUUUUCCAUUGUCUCUCGCUAAUUAAAACUUUUCAAGGUUGUUUAGUUGUUUUUUUUUUUUUUCCAGUAUUGGAAAAGUUUGGCUGGAAGGUGCGGAGGACCUGUGCAUCAUGUUUUGGGUGUGGGGGCGCAUGGCAUCUGCAACAUUAAAAGACAAAACGUUCUCAACUGGGAAGAGAGGAAGAGGCUUAGUCUUUGGCUCUUAAAUCAUUUGGCCAAACCCUUCGCAGUUCUGAAGUGGGUGGGGCCAUUUUGACCCGUCGUGGUUCUGAAGUGGGUGGGGCCAUGGUAACCCUAAAGUAUUGAUUCUUUGUCUAUUGUAUCAGCGAAUGACCCUCUCUAGAAGUGACCAGACAUCUCUUUGUGCUCUCUUUUCGUAAGUAAAGUUAAGCCCAAGGGGAAAUACACAAACCCAGGGAGUGAGAUGGCUUUUUAAGGAUAUAAGUCGUUGUAGAGUGAUGGGAAGAAAAGAAAUGGAUGAAGGAUAAUCUAGAGAUGAAUUUGAUUCCAGUGUAUUCGUUAACAAAAUUAUCUAGUAAGACCUUCGUUUUUGAUGAUGUUAUCUCGAAUGAAUUUUGUUUUUAUGAGUAGUCAACUAAGGAAAUGUUAAAUUAAGAGGAAUUGCAAUCUCUGAUGUGACAUUUGUGUGGGACAUAAAGUUAAAUUGGGAGAAAAAUACGUAUCUUUAAAGUAUAAUUGUAUCUUUACUAAACACGGCUUUUCUCUCUCCUCUUUUUAAAGGUGACCAUCGAUGGUUUUUUCCUCCACAAUUCCGUGUCCAUGUAAAAAUGACUUGUAAUAUAGCCAAGAAAAGACGGAAUUUUCAUUCCAACUUAAGGAGUGGGGCUGUUAUUAUUAAUGGCUUUAUUUAUCAUGACCUAAGCAAUGCAUAUGUUAGCACUGGAUCAUUAUCUGUUAUGUUAGGAAUUUUGUAUUUAGUUUAAUUACAUACUCUGUAUAUUUUAUUAAUUAAUUAAAAGGACCCAGCAUUCAUUGUACUAGUUUCGAAAAACGGACAUAAUUUUAAAUGAGAAUACAGGAAAUUUGUAUACAGAAUGUUUUUUGCUUUCAAAGGCACUGUAGUUUUGUUGUUUUAGUUAUUAGGUUUGUGGUUAAGGACUAAAGGAUGGUUUUUGUGCUUUCCUGAAUGCUUUGUUUAAACAAGGAAAUGAAUGUAACUUGUUGCUCAUGUGUGUCCAUUUUGAAAAGCAACAGUGGGAGCUGAGGAGAGCGCACAGUGCCGGCCAUUUCAAGACAAGAUUUUCAGUGGCGUGGCUUAAGAAGGAGUGAUUUGUAUUUAACAUCAAGUAUUUAAGGAUGUCAUUUAUUUAAAGUUCUUGAUUUGUGAUUUGAUGUCGAUGGUAACAAAUGUCUUUAUAAAUAAGCUUGAGUAGCCAGCAAUGUAUGAGAACAUCCAGGAAUGUAUGUUUCAUCUAGAACAUUCUCAUGCUUUGUCCUUAAAAAUAACUAAUGACGAGGUGAUUACUGUAAGAACGGAGGAAACUACUAGACAAGUCUAUUCCAUGCCUAUAGUAUUCAGUAAAACCAACUGGGACUACCCAGAGGGAUUUUUUUUUGAUUAUCAAAAGUUCCUUGCACCAAUUUCCAAUAAAUGAUCAAAACCCGGGGACAAUAAAUGAGACUUAUACAAGGUA